UGCAGACCGUUGAUGAAGAAAAGUACUAGAUGAUUCAUGAACACAGAGAAGAAGAGGCCAUGGCUGGAAGCCUUCUGUUCAUCCAUUUAGGAAAGACACUUCGUAGGGGCUCGUUCGAACGAAUUUUUUAGUAGAGCGAGACGUAACACAGGCGUUAACUGUGCUAAGUGGAUGUCUUUAAUUAGACUUCAAGUUGGGUGGCACCGCGGUAUACUCGUCCCUCUG
rnacentral:ncRNA from 1 species